rnacentral:rRNA from 1 species
GAUGAACGCUGGCGGCGUGCUUAACACAUGCAAGUCGAACGAAGCACUUAAGACGGAUUCUUCGGAUGAAGGCUUUUGUGACUGAGUGGCGGACGGGUGAGUAACGCGUGGGUAACCUGCCUCAUACAGGGGGAUAACAGUUAGAAAUGGCUGCUAAUACCGCAUAAGCGCACAGUACCGCAUGGUACGGUGUGAAAAACUCCGGUGGUAUGAGAUGGACCCGCGUUGGAUUAGCUAGUUGGGAGGGUAACGGCCUACCAAGGCGACGAUCCAUAGCCGGCCUGAGAGGGUGGACGGCCACAUUGGGACUGAGACACGGCCCAGACUCCUACGGGAGGCAGCAGUGGGGAAUAUUGCACAAUGGGGGAAACCCUGAUGCAGCGACGCCGCGUGAGCGAAGAAGUAUUUCGGUAUGUAAAGCUCUAUCAGCAGGGAAGAAAAUGACGGUAC